rnacentral:rRNA from 1 species
UACGUAGGGGGCAAGCGUUGUCCGGAUUUAUUGGGCGUAAAGAGCGUGUAGGCGGCCAUACAGGUCAGCUGUGAAAACUCGAGGCUCAACCUCGAGACGUCGGUUGAAACCGUAUGGCUAGAGUCCGGAAGAGGAGAGUGGAAUUCCCGGUGUAGCGGUGAAAUGCGCAGGUAUCGGGAAGAACACCCGUGGCGAAGGCGGCUCUCUGGGACGGUACUGACGCUGAGACGCGAAAGCGUGGGGAGCGAACAGG